GUCUCAUGCCCUAUCAGCCUGAAGGCGCCCGAUCUCGUCUGAUCUCGGAAGCUAAGCAGGGUCGGGCCUGGUUAGGAUCUUGGAUGGGAGACCACCUGGGAAUCCCGGGUGCUCGAGGCU
rnacentral:rRNA from 1 species